rnacentral:lncRNA from 1 species
GGCAGCCCGCGUAUUUCGCCGUAGACACAAUAGCAAGGUCUAACAUCAUUUGGUAGCCGAGCAGUUCAUAUCAAUGUGAAAAGUGAAACGAGAAGCGUUGGGUUGGCUCAGCUUCAAGAGAAAUAAUAGCACUUUGGCUCUGGGAAUUCUACACACCAUAUUUUUUUUAAAUGGGCAAUUAUCAUUUGGUCGAACAUCAAGGAAAAAAAGGAAAUAUUGUCUUAUUGGAGACUUGGAACAUGACAAAUGACGAACAGAAUGCACUGAAUCGAAGGCCUCUGUCAACGGUUUUUCUAUUAGCAGUGAAAAACAAUCUGUCUCAUUGGAAAUGCAGAAACGGGAUGCCUUAACGAAUUAUUUUCUCCUUGCUGAAACGGGACCAUUAAAGGAGAAGUGAGAUGGAGACGGGCAACGCUUGCCGUGGCGUGUCCGAGAAACUGGCUAGCCUUUGUGGUGCCAUGGAUUUCACUCCGUCCCAUCAUUUGCCAAGGAGAGGAUGAAAUAUGACAGACGAGGCGUAAUAAUAUGAUGAGAUCUUGCUUCGGCUGUGGUCUGCCACGAUGUAAACGAGACCCUUUGACCACAAAACCGUGGCCGGAGGGCCGACGGAGAGAUGAGUAAUGACCGCUGGCCUGCAGAGAGCCGACUGGCCAACUGGGCAGUCAGUUGAACGGUUGGACUGGCAAGCCUUCCAUCGACGUCUAGCUUGGUCGGCGAAAGAUACUGCUACCAGUCAGUGCUAAAUUACGAAGAGACAAGUAAAUUGAAUCGCCAGAACUCGCUAGACCAACUCAUUGACUGACCUGUCGUUGUAUAUAAGAAAAUAAUAUACAAUCCUAUACCCACCAUUGUACUGUCUUGUAAUUGUCGGAUAUGACGUAUGGAGAUCAAACGUUUUUAUAGUACAUGUUUUACGCAGACAGAAGUGGUUCAAGAACAAAUCGAUUACAGCAAUACAUAUACCAGCAUAUAUCGAACAGAUGGUCACGUGAGUUAAUGUCGAUAUAGGUACACUGCAAGAGGCAGAGGAGCCAGAGGGAGCUGUACCGCAGAUCAAAGAGGCCAUGACUACUUUGUCUGCAAAUACUGUAACAACUAUGAACAGGUUCGCAGAAUAACACACAUAUGUGUGUAUGUAAUGAAACAGUAUUUUAGGAAUAUACAUAGCGAAUUAUGAAAGGAAAGACAUGUGAAUACACACUGUAGGUCAGCAUAACUGAUUUGACAACAUGACACAUGAGUUUGUUUAGUUCAUAGGCGUGAAUUCCUCUUUCCAAGAAAAGAAAAUAACCAGUUAGAUAUAUAAUUAAGCCUUCUCAUAAUCACGGACACUACACUGGUUGCUUUUUAUAAACUGAACAUUAUAUGAAAUGUGCAAUUGUCUUAUAGUGCCACCAGUUUUUAAUGAUUAGUUUGAUUAGACUUUUCAAUGAGAGUGUUUACUGGCUAUCAUUUCGUUCCAAAAUUACCAGGAUCCUGUACCACAAAGCAAUCUUAUAAUUACGACUGCAGUAUGCCUAUAAUAAGGUGAUGGAGUUUCCAUUACUUUAACAUAAAGACGGGUCUGUAGAACGACCCAAGAUUUAGAAAUUAGAUCAUGAUUUACAAGCCACGAGGAAAAUGAACGUCAUGUAAUUAUGAAGUUAUAUCUGUCUAAGUGCACAUGAGAUGCAUUGCUGCUGUUUCUCGUGUAUCAUAUUUCAGGUUAAUAAAUUCAUUGAUUCAAAAAUGAAUCAUAACUAAGAUGUACCUCUGCGUUACGUAAUUCAUUAAUACCAAAGAACAUUUCUCUCAGCUGGUUCUAAAUCGGACUUACAAAAUACAUUACACAGUUAAUUUGUUGAAAAAUGACAUAUCAAUUUGUGACCAAAUUAACGUGGAAAAGAUUUCGUUGAAUAUUAAGUUUCAAAAACGAAAAAUACAAAAGCGUCAAAGAAAUCUUAACUUUUAUAUAUUCAGUAUAAGCCGACAUUGUACAUAGAACUUCCAUAUCGAACAAAAGUGGUAUUGUCGUCAACUAUGGCACAUGAUAAAUCUUGAAUUGAUUUACAAAUUGUGGAACGGCUAUCCCGCGGCACAAAGCCAUUCCUGUGGGCAUAAAGAUAAUAGACCUGGACAGUGAACGAAGUCAUAAAAUGGUCCCAACUGAGAAGCAGAGGGAAGUCGAUUUUAUUAUCCAUGGGUUCUGAAUUUUCUACUAGUUAAUAAAGGUCAUGGAAUGGCAAGUAAGGUGUCAAGGUGAGAUCUGUGGGAAGCAGGCAUUUCCAACAUGGAAAUGGUUUAAAGAAUCAUUAAAAUCAAUCACAUAUGAACGACAAAGAUGACAAAAUAUCGGUACGUCUCAAGUAGCAGAUGUAGAUGUUUUCAGACAUGGGUUUAUUGUUGGAGUAUAUUUCUCUUUUACGGGGGUCUAUUCCACGGGACAUUUGCGGUCAUCCCACGUGACGUUUUGAUAAACCUUCAAGUCGGCUUUAUGAGAUGUACAGCCUAUAAAAGUAAUUGUCUCAGAGGAAGAAACUUUGAGAAGCAUAGCUGGAAAUAGCAAACUCACAGUUAUCCAAAUCAACGUCGAUUAUAUUGAUAUAAUUUACAUGAUUAUACACAGUUUGUACAUAUCGUGUACAUUGUGUUUCGAAUGCUUUUGUAAAUGUUCUUAGUGUAACUAUAUUUUUUCUUAGUUAAAAAACUCAUUUGUAUGUUCAAUUUUUAAGUCUCCUCAAUCGUUGCAAUAAACGUGUACAUAAAAAUAGUAGAUGAUUCAUAGAUAUAUAGUUCUUAUUUUACACUCUGUUUACGAACAUAGUAUUGUAUUAGGAAACAUGUUUCAGUUGUUAUAACUUUAUGAGAUCUCAGGUUAGACGUGCGUACAGAUGUUACACAUGAAUAUACGAGGUGUGUGAUUUCUUUUCUUAAUAUAAGACAUUAUGUGGUUGAAUCAUUACCAAGCGAGUACUUUAAUUCGACGCAAAGCAUGUUGUAAUAAAUUCAAUAAAAGUAGUAAUCGUAUUGUGUGACAAGUA